AUUUGUUCCUUUGCUCCACUCUUACCAACCUUUGCUCUGAUUUGUGCCAUGAGGACUAGAAACCUGGAAACCUACGUUUCCCAGCUACUCCAUCUCCCCACACCGCAGGCUUUCUGUUAUGUUCUGAUGAUGAACUACUGCAGGAACAUAUCAGGAAAGCCAAGAGAAUCCACAGACCCUUUGAAGGAACUGUACCACCCCUGCAGACUCCCUGAGAUGCCAAAAACUGUGAAUCUGCUUGCUUUCUCAACUGGGAGGCUCAUGGUCUGGGCUUAACUCCCACUUAUAAGUGAAAAUACGUAAUGGUCUCCAACUCCAUCCAGGUGUCUGUGAAUGCCAUUAUUUCAUUCCUUUAUAUAGGUUCCCCAGUGAGGAUUGUCAGGCCUCUGAGCCCAAGCUAAGCCAUCAUAUCCCCUGUGACCUGCACGUAUACAUCCAGAUGGCCUGAAGCAACUGAAGAUCCACAGAAGAAGUGAAAAUAGCCAGUUCCUGCCUUAACUGAUGACAUUCCACCAUUGUAAUUUGUUCCUGCCCCACCCUAACUGAUCAAUUGACUUUGUGACAAUACACCCUCCCUACCCUUGCGGUAAUGUAAUUUGUGAUAUUCCCUCACCCUUGUGAAGGUACUUUGUACUAUACACCCUCCCCACCCUUGAGAAGGUACUUUGUAAUAUUCUCCCCUGCCCUUAGGAAUGUACUUUGUAAGAUCCACCCCCUGCCCACAAAAAAUUGCUCCUAACUCCACCGCCUAUCCCAAACCUGUAAGAACUAAUGAUAAUCCCACCACCCUUUGCUGACUCUCUUUUCGGACUCAGCCCACCUUCACCCAGGUGAUAAAAAAGCUUUAUUGCUCACACAAAGCCUGUUUGGUGGUCUCUUCACAUGGAUGUGCAUGACAAGGAUGUGUGUUUGGAGGCAGGUUUUCCCCUUUCGCCCUUGGUAACUCACAGUUUCUCUCCUGUCUUAUGGAAUUUGCAGAGGCAUGCUGCUUAUUUCAAAUAAUCUGUGAAUUAUUUCAGUUUUCUUGGUACAUUCCUGCAGUGGUUCUUGGAGAAAAUCCGCUGUAUGAGUCUCCACACACUGUUCUAUCUGUCCAAGUGGGAGCUGCACAAUUGUCCUGUCUGCUAUCUGCCAUCUGCCUCCUAAAUCCCCCUGUCUUUUCUUCAGCCUCUCAUCUUCACCCCUGCAUACACACAUAUACAGGCACACAAAGUUGUCACAGAGCCUUUCAAGAAUAUUUUGAAUACUUAUCUGAGUAUAUAAAGUAGAGAUCUGAAGCUCUAAAAAUGAAAGUUUUUAAAAAUAAAAUUUGGCUUAGGAUGUGGAAUCUGUCCUCAUAUCAUUAACAAAAAUAUGCUUUGGAUACCACUUUGACAGUCCUCCAACACCUAUAUCAGUCAACAGGCCAACACAAAACAGAUGGCACACUCCAAAUAAGGCACCUGGAGGAGGGUGCAUCUACAACGGACCUAGUUACAGAGGUGUUAAGUACAGGGGAAUCGCGAGAGGUAGUGUUGCAAUCUAAGACUCAGUAAAGAGAAGAGAGAAGAGAUUAGUUAACAGAGAAUUUAGAACAGUGACCUGGACAAAGGUCAGCUUAUCUUGCAAGGAGAGAGUUAGGCAAAUAAUGCCCUGACCUCAUUCUGCAACUCCCCGCUAAACUUCUGGGGCUUCCCAUUGGUUGGACAUAGGGGAUGUUAGAACACAUGAGAACCUCUCAAAAUCCAUACAGGCCAGGCUCUCAGAGAAGACAGGAGAGUGAAAAACUGGCAGAAAGUGGACCUAAAGGAGAAAGUGAAAGAUGCUCAGAACAAUAUUCUUAUUCAGAGGUUAUACAAAGAUUGUUUUAAUUAAAUAUACAAUAUAUGCUGGAA
rnacentral:lncRNA from 10 species